AUGGAUGUGAUGAGUAUUUCCCCAGAUGAUCGACAAUGAAAUCACUGAGCGCUCUUCUCUUUUUAGAGAAAUUCCAAGCCAGGAUACUCUGAUCCUU